UACAGAGGGGGCGAGCGUUGUUCGGAAUUACUGGGCGUAAAGGGCGCGUAGGCGGCCAACUAAGUCAGACGUGAAAUCCCUCGGCUCAACCGGGGAACUGCGUCUGAUACUGGAUGGCUUGAAUUCGGGAGAGGGAUGCGGAAUUCCAGGUGUAGCGGUGAAAUGCGUAGAUAUCUGGAGGAACACCGGUGGCGAAGGCGGCGACCUGGUCCGUGACUGACGCUGAGGCGCGAAAGCGUGGGGAGCAAACAGG
rnacentral:rRNA from 1 species